rnacentral:rRNA from 1 species
AUUCCAGCUCCAAUAGCGUAUAUUAAAGUUGUUGCAGUUAAAAAGCUCGUAGUUGGAUUUCUGUUCUCGAGGAUCGGUCCGCCUCACGGUGAGCACUGGUUUUUCUUGGGGACAUCCUCUCGAAGGCGGGUGGUGCACUUAAUUGUGUGCUGCUUGGAUUCGGGACCUUUACUUUGAAAAAAUUAGAGUGUUCAAAGCAGGCGUCGGCUUGAAUACAUUAGCAUGGAAUAAUGGAAUAGGACUUUGGUUCUAUUUUGUUGGUUUCUAGGACCGAAGUAAUGAUUAAUAGGGACAGUUGGGGGCAUUAGUAUUUAAUUGUCAGAGGUGAAAUUCUUGGAUUUAUGAAAGACUAACUACUGCGAAAGCAUUUGCCAAGGAUGUUUUCAUCG